AUUUCAUCCUAAUACAAGGUUGAUGGCCGAUAAUCUUCUCAUCUAAAAGCUUAAGCUGUUAGAGAGGGGCCCUUUUAGAUCAAAGGUCUAAGACAUGCACAAUUUUCAUGAAAGGAUGGUGUUUGAGACUUGAGCCCAGGACUUAUCCCAGCACUAACCACCUCAUCUUAAAAAUUAAGUUGCUGGAGAGGGGCCACAGGUAUUUUGCUUAAAACUUA
rnacentral:lncRNA from 1 species